CCAAUCGAACUCGGAGAUAGCUGGUUCUCCCCGAAAUAGCUUUAGGGCUAGCCUCGUUUUAAAUUACCGGGGGUAGAGCACUGAAUGGGCUAGGGGGCCACAAAGCUUACCGAACCCUAUCAAACUUCGAAUACCGGAUAAUUGAUGAACGGGAGUCAGACGGCGGGAGAUAAGUUUCGUCGUCAAAAGGGAAACAGCCCAGAUCUACGACUAAGGUCCCGAAAUCACAGUUAAGUGGAAAAGGAUGUGCAGUUGCACAGACAACCAGGAUGUUGGCUUAGAAGCAGCCACUCAUUUAAAGAGUGCGUAAUAGCUCACUGGUCGAGUGAUUGUGCGCCGAAAAUGUACCGGGGCUAAACUGUGUACCGAAGUCUAGGGAUCGUGAUAAACGAUCGGUAGGGGAGCAACGUGUGCGGGCUGAAGCCGAAGCGGAAGCGACGGUGGACUGCACGGGAGAGAGAAUGCCGGCAUGAGUAGCGAGAGCAAAGUGAGAAUCUUUGCCGUCGAAAGCCUAAGGUUUCCUGAGGAAGGCUCGUCCUCUCAGGGUAAGUCAGGACCUAAGCCGAGGACAAAAGUCGUAGGCGAUGGACAACUGGUUGAUAUUCCAGUACCACCUUUAGCGUUUGACUGAAGCAGUGACACAGAAGGAUAGACAGAGCGCGUGACUGGUAGAGCGCGUCCAAGCGAUGAGGGAGUUAAGUAGUGAAGAACGCUUAACAAUCCUGGGUCGUGAUGGGGACUGAAAAUAAGUAGGGAAGCUGUUGAAUUCACGCUGGCGAGAAAAGCUGCUAAGGAGCGAAAGGGUGCCUGUACCGCAAACCGACACAGGUAGGCGAGGAGAGAAUCCUAAGACGAGCGGGAGAACCCAUGUUAAGGAACUCGGCAAAAUGACCCUGUAACUUCGGGAUAAAGGGAGCCACGAGAGUGGCCGCAGAGAAUAGGCCCAAGCGACUGUUUACCAAAAACACAGGUCUGUGCGAAGUAGAGAUACGACGUAUACGGGCUGACGCCUGCCCAGUGCCGGAAGGUUAAGGGGAAGUGUUAGGGCAACCGAAGCACGGAACUUAAGCCCCGGUGAACGGCGGCCGUAACUAUAACGGUCCUAAGGUAGCGAAAUUCCUUGUCGGGUAAG
rnacentral:rRNA from 1 species